rnacentral:lncRNA from 1 species
UCUAACCCACUGAGCCACCCAGGUGCCCCUAAAUAAAUAGAAUAAAAAAAAAAAUUUUUUUUUUGGCCACAAUUUGCAAAAACCUAACCUAUAGUGACUUACACAAAUAGCGGCUGAUUUUUCUGCAUCUGCGGGAGCCUGGACGUGGACAGCCAGCAGCUCGGGGAUGCAUCAGGGACCCAGGCCUCUUUCUGCUCCGCCAGUCCUACGUGUCAUCUCAGGAGCCCACACUUGCUACUGCAGUUGCGGGCUUCGCGUCGGGCCAGGAGAAGAGAGAACAGAUUAGGCAACGCGGCCGAUUUCUCCUUCCAUCUCAUUGGCCAGGAUGGUGUCACGUGACCACUCCUGGCUGCAAGGGAUGCUGGGAAAGAAAGCCUGGUCCCCGGCAUGGAGCGGCGCUGAGCCAAAUAGGAAGAAGAGUAGAUGUCAGUGGCUUUCAGUCUGCUGGAUGAGACAGACGCUGGACCCAAAAGGAUGCCAGUUAGGGAGAGAGAAAGCAAGAGAAACAAGCAGCAGGAUUGGGAGAGGGAGAAGCAGGCUUCCUGCUGUGCAUGGAGCCUGA